ACGAACGCUGCGGCGUGGAUAAGACAUGCAAGUCGAACGAGAAUUCAUUUGUAGCAAUACCGAUGAAUUCUAGUGGCGAACGGGUGCGUAACACGUGAGCAAUCUGCCGGGAAGUGGGGGAUAGCUCGCCGAAAGGCGAAUUAAUACCGCAUACGGCCAAGGAGGACAUCCUCCUGAAGCCAAAGUCGCAAGACGCUUCCUGAUGAGCUCGCGGCCUAUCAGCUAGUUGGUGAGGUAACGGCUCACCAAGGCAAUGACGGGUAGCUGGUCUGAGAGGACGACCAGCCACACUGGAACUGAGACACGGUCCAGACACCUACGGGUGGCAGCAGUCGAGAAUUUUUCACAAUGGGGGAAACCCUGAUGGAGCGACGCCGCGUGGAGGAUGAAGGUUUUCGGAUUGUAAACUCCUGUCAAAUGGGAACAAGAAAGUGAUA
rnacentral:rRNA from 1 species